CCUGUAUUUUUGCUCAUAUCUCUGUUACAAGAACAGCUUACAAGAUGUAUAUCUUCUUGACUCUCAUCAGCUUAUUUCAAUUCGUGAACUCACAAACUAUCCGCCAGGUUCCAACCGCUGUUUCCAAAUUACCCGGGAAGAGUGUGGAACUGAAGUGUUUUGUGGAUGGGACUAGCAGUAACCCUACUAUGCUCUGGUACAGACAAUACCCGGGGAAAGGGCCACAGGUGAUGUUUUAUUCCACUGCUAUCAAUUAUGUGAAUCCAGAGGAUGCGGUGGACGGUUUUACCGCACAGCGACCAAGUGGUUCUGAGUUCAACCUGAAGACCUCCAGCCUGUGGGUGAAUCACACGGCCAUGUAUUUCUGCGCCUGGAGUCUUCACAGUGACUCAGAGAGAGGGAGCAGCUCAACAAAAACCCCAAAAGUUGCAGCUGUUUUAGAUAAUACUGCGCGGUACCUCCUCCUACAUUCCUGAGUUCAUGCAAAACAACAGUUUUCAUAAUUACAGCGGGUUUACACUGAGCGUCAUUGAUCCAAUAUACAGUUGCACUAGAUCCGAGAGCUUCAAAUAACCAGAAGAGAGUAAACAUGUUCGUUUUUUUCCCAGAAAACAGUAAAACUCACUGGUGAACAGGUCUUUGCGAUUUUCAAACGCGUUUUAUUG